rnacentral:rRNA from 1 species
ACACGCAUGACACACUGCAUAUCAAUAAGCGGAGGAAAAGAAACUAACAAGGAUUCCCUUAGUAACGGCGAGUGAAGCGGGAAGAGCUCAAAUUUGAAAUCUUCAAGGUUUUACCUUGACGAGUUGUAGUUUAAAGAAGUGUUUUCUGUUGGAGUUUUGGUAAAAGUUCUUUGGAAUAGGACAUCAUAGAGGGUGAGAAUCCCGUAAUUUGACCAUUAUUUCCAGCUGUGUGAUACACUUUCAAAGAGUCGGAUUGUUUGGGAAUGCAGUCCAAAAUGGGUGGUAAAUUUCAUCUAAAGCUAAAUAUUGGCGAGAGACCGAUAGCGAACAAGUACCGUGAGGGAAAGAUGAAAAGAACUUUGAAAAGAGAGUUAAACAGUACGUGAAAUUGUCAAAAGGGAAGCGUUUGACACCAGUGUUGUUUAGUUGAAAAUCAAUUCAAUAAUUUUUGAUUUUGAGUAGUAUUGACUUCAUCAGCUUGCUGCUUUCUUUUCCGAAAUUAUUGAAUGCACUUUUCAGUUAACAAGUCAACAUCAAUUUCUUUUGUUGUAAAAGGGUAAGAGGAAGGUGGCUUACGCUUCGGCGUAAGUGUUUAUAGCCUUUUACCUCUGCAAUCGGAGAGAUUGAGGUCUGCAGCGUAGAUCCUUCGGGGUUAGAUACACUUGUGCUAAGCUAUAGCCUUGUAUAGACAACUUGUUGACUAUGCUCAGUCAUGUAGCUUACUCGCUUGUGCUAUUUUACCUACGCUUAGGAUGUUGAGCGCAUGUCUCUCUCU